GACGAACGCUGGCGGCGUGCUUAACACAUGCAAGUCGAACGGAAAGGCCCUGCUUUUGUGGGGUGCUCGAGUGGCGAACGGGUGAGUAACACGUGAGUAACCUGCCCUUGACUUUGGGAUAACUUCAGGAAACUGGGGCUAAUACCGGAUAGGAGCUCCUGCUGCAUGUUGGGGGUUGGAAAGUUUCGGCGGUUGGGGAUGGACUCGCGGCUUAUCAGCUUGUUGGUGGGGUAGUUGCUUACCAAGGCUUUGAAGGGUAGCCGGCCUGAGAGGGUGACCGGCCACAUUGGGACUGAGAUACGGCCCAGACUCCUACGGGAGGCAGCAGUGGGGAAUAUUGCACAAUGGGCGGAAGCCUGAUGCAGCAACGCCGCGUGCGGGAUGACGGCCUUCGGGUUGUAAACCGCUUUCGCCUGAGACGAAGCGUGAGUGACGGUAAUGGGUAAAGAAGCACCGGCUAACUACGUG
rnacentral:rRNA from 1 species